GAUGAACGCUAGCGGGAGGCCUAACACAUGCAAGCCGAGCGGUAUUGUUUCUUCGGAAGUGAGAGAGCGGCGUACGGGUGCGUAACACGUGUGCAACCUGCCUUUAUCUGGGGGAUAGCCUUUCGAAAGGAAGAUUAAUACUCCAUAAUAUAUUGAACGGCAUCGUUUAAUAUUGAAAGCUCCGGCGGAUAGAGAUGGGCACGCGCAAGAUUAGCUAGUUGGUGAGGUAACGGCUCACCAAGGCGAUGAUCUUUAGGGGGCCUGGGAGGGUGAUCCCCCACACUGGUACUGAGACACGGACCAGACUCCUACGGGAGGCAGCAGUGAGGAAUAUUGGUCAAUGGGUGCAAGCCUGAACCAGCCAUCCCGCGUGAAGGACGACUGCCCUAUGGGUUGUAAACUUCUUUUGUAUAGGGAUAAACCUACCCUCGAGAGGGUAGCUGAAGGUACUAUACGAAUAAGCACCGGCUAACUCCGUG
rnacentral:rRNA from 1 species